GAUGAACGCUGGCGGCGUGCCUAAUACAUGCAAGUCGAGCGAACGGACGAGAAGCUUGCUUCUCUGAUGUUAGCGGCGGACGGGUGAGUAACACGUGGAUAACCUACCUAUAAGACUGGGAUAACUUCGGGAAACCGUAGCUAAUACCGGAUAAUAUUUUGAACCGCAUGGUUCAAAAGUGAAAGACGGUCUUGCUGUCACUUAUAGAUGGAUCCGCGCUGCAUUAGCUAGUUGGUAAGGUAACGGCUUACCAAGGAAACGAUGCAUAGCCGACCUGAGAGGGGGAUGGCCCACCGUGAAACGAGGACCCGGCCCAGACUCCUAGGGAGGGAGGCGGUAGGGAAUCUCCCGAAAGGGGCGAAGGCCUAACGGAGCAACGCCGGGGGAGGGAGGAAGGUCUUCGGAUCGUAAAACUCUGUUAUUAGGGAAGAAAAAAUGUGUAGUAACUGUGCACAUCUUGACGGUACCUAAUCAGAAAGCCACGGCUAACUACGU
rnacentral:rRNA from 1 species